AUUGAACGCUGGCGGCAGGCCUAACACAUGCAAGUCGAGCGGAUGAAGGGAGCUUGCUCCUGGAUUCAGCGGCGGACGGGUGAGUAAUGCCUAGGAAUCUGCCUGGUAGUGGGGGAUAACGUCCGGAAACGGGCGCUAAUACCGCAUACGUCCUGAGGGAGAAAGUGGGGGAUCUUCGGACCUCACGCUAUCAGAUGAGCCUAGGUCGGAUUAGCUAGUUGGUGGGGUAAAGGCCUACCAAGGUGACGAUCCGUAACUGGUCUGAGAGGAUGAUCAGUCACACUGGAACUGAGACACGGUCCAGACUCCUACGGGAGGCAGCAGUGGGGAAUAUUGGACAAUGGGCGAAAGCCUGAUCCAGCCAUGCCGCGUGUGUGAAGAAGGUCUUCGGAUUGUAAAGCACUUUAAGUUGGGAGGAAGGGCAGUAAGUUAAUACCUUGCUGUUUUGACGUUACCAACAGAAUAAGCACCGGCUAACUUCGUG
rnacentral:rRNA from 1 species